rnacentral:rRNA from 1 species
AGAGUUUGAUCCUGGCUCAGAUUGAACGCUGGCGGCAUGCCUUACACAUGCAAGUCGAACGGCAGCACGGGGGCAACCCUGGUGGCGAGUGGCGAACGGGUGAGUAAUGCAUCGGAACGUGCCCAGUAGUGGGGGAUAGCUCGGCGAAAGCCGAAUUAAUACCGCAUACGUACUGAGGUAGAAAGCGGGGGACCGUAAGGCCUCGCGCUACUGGAGCGGCCGAUGUCGGAUUAGCUUGUUGGUGGGGUAAAAGCCUACCAAGGCGACGAUCCGUAACUGGUCUGAGAGGACGACCAGUCACACUGGGACUGAGACACGGCCCAGACUCCUACGGGAGGCAGCAGUGGGGAAUUUUGGACAAUGGGCGCAAGCCUGAUCCAGCAAUGCCGCGUGUGUGAAGAAGGCCUUCGGGUUGUAAAGCACUUUUGUCCGGGAAGAAAUCUGUCUGGCUAAUACCUGGACGGGAUGACGGUACCGGAGGAAUAAGCACCGGCUAACUACGUGCCAGCAGCCGCGGUAAUACGUAGGGUGCGAGCGUUAAUCGGAAUUACUGGGCGUAAAGCGUGCGCAGGCGGCUCUGUAAGACAGAUGUGAAAUCCCCGGGCUCAACCUGGGAACUGCAUUUGUGACUGCAAGGCUAGAGUGCGUCAGAGGGAGGUGGAAUUCCGCGUGUAGCAGUGAAAUGCGUAGAUAUCGAGAGGAACACCCGUGGCGAAGGCGAGUCUCUGGACCAUUCCUGACACUGAGGCACGAAAGCCGGGGGAGCAAACAGGAUUAGAUACCCUGGUAGUCCCGGCCCUAAACUGUGCGCAUUUGCUGUGGGCGGAAUCGACCCCGCCCGUGGCGAAGCUAACGCGUUAAAUGCGCCGCCUGGGGAGUACGGCCGCAAGGUUAAAACUCAAAGAAAUUGACGGGGGCCUGCACAAGCGGUGGAGUAUGUGGCUUAAUUCGAUGCAACGCGAAGAACCUUACCUGGCCUUGACAUGCAGAUGGUAGAAGCCUGAAAGGGUGACGACCCCGCAAGGGGAGUCUGCACAGGUGCUGCAUGGCUGUCGUCAGCUCGUGUCGUGAGAUGUUGGGUUAAGUCCCGCAACGAGCGCAACCCCUUUGUCCUGUUGCCACCGGGAUGAGAGUCCCGAGCACUCUGGACAGACUGCCCCGUCCAAACGGGGAGGAAGGUGGGGAUGACGUCAAGUCAGUAUGGCCCUUACGGCCAGGGCUGCACACGUACUACAAUGCCCGGUACAAAGGGAAGCAAGGCGGCAACGCGGAGCCAACCCCCAAAACCGGGCCCAGUUCAGAUUGCCGGCUGCAACUCGCCGGCAUGAAGCUGGAAUCGCUAGUAUGGCGCAUCAGCUACGGCGCCGUGAAUACGUUCCCAGGCCUUGUACACACCGCCCGUCACAUCAUGAAAGCCGGUUGUACCCGAAGUCGCCGCGCCAACCGCAAGGAGGCAGGCGCCGAAGGUAUGGCUGGUGAUUGGGAUGAAGUCGUAACAAGGUA